UGAUGCCAUUGUUUUUAACAGCUGAGUGAUACUCCAAUGUUAAACGAAAGCAUGAGCUGUAAUCAACCUUUUUCCUUUGCUGUGCUUCUGUCUGGGAAAGGAACUGAGACACUUCCUAUGCACCUUUCCUUGGGUGAUAUGUCUGAGAAGAAGAAGGAAAUAAAACAAGAGAAGGGUUCAAGAUAUAAGUUCUCAGCUUUCUACCCCAACUACCAUUCCUCAGCUCUGCCAUCGUGGACUCUCAUCCUUCAGGAACCAUAAGCCCAACACACCUUUCUUCCAUAAGUCCUGUGGUCAGUGUUUUAUCUUGGGAAUAGAAAGGUAACUAAUACGGAAGUUGGAUCAAAAUGAACUGGCAUUGUAUACAGUUGUGAGCUGUCAUGUGGUUCAUAGGAACAGAACACAGGUCCUCUGGAAGAACAGUUGAACCAUCUCUUCUAGUCCAGCCUGGCCUACUUUAAUAAAGGACUAAGACCAUGCAGCUGAACAAAAGCAAUAAGGUUGGAAAAUACCGUGAUUGUGGUCUACAUUAAAUUGACUGUACCAUUUUACUUUGCCAUGACUCUGGGUUAACUGUAAAGAGUGAGGUGCAACAGCAGGUCAUCAAAGGUCCAUCUCAGGUUUCCCAUGGUCCAUCCUUGAUCUGCCUCCAUCUCUCCCUGCCUGAAGAAAUGUGUGAAAUCAGUGAUGCCUCUGUGUUGAAUAAACAAAGGGAGAAAUAAGAACAGCACUUAAAGGAGAGAGAAAGACUUUUCUUUUGGGUCUCAAAUUAGAAGGGAGGUGGGGGUAUUGAGAUAUGAAAUCAUGUUUCUAUUUCAAGCCCGGUGGCUUAUUUCCCUUGAAUGGAUUAAUUUACUGUGGUGGUAUCCUGGCUUAGCAUCCACAGAGAAGGUAAUUUUAAAAUCUUUGCCCUCUCCAGGGUCACUUUAGGCUGGAGUGCUGUAUGUGCCAUGAUACCACCACUUUUCAGAAGCCUUCCUUGUUUUGAGAUGUUAACCUUGCAGAUAGAUCCCUAGUGGUUUCUGCUGGUGGCUUUCUUCCUACUGCAAUUCUUCUGUCUUUUGAGUCAUUCAUCCAUUUCUCUACUUGGGAAAUUCAUCGUAUUUCCCAGUAAACGUUUUAGUUUUUAUUCAGCAGCACAUAAAAAAGGACAACAAAUGUUUUUUACACUUCCUAUGUGCUCAACAGUGCCCAGGGAACUUACAGGAUUUCAUUUAAUUCACAAAUUGUAUUCACAGUAGUUUCAGCACAGGAGAGGCAGUACACCCAAAGACAGACAGGAUGGAAACCAACACCACAGACUCCCAUUGACCACUUCUGAUAAAAGCAUGUCUCUAAGUCUAAGUUUUAUACUGUAUUAUUAGUAUAAGGGUCAUUCCUGUGCUUUGGCACACAUGUGGAAAUCAGACGACACCUUGCAUAAGUCCAUUCUCUCUUACUAGUGAACCUCAGGGGUUGAACUCAGGCUCGAGGCAAGUGCCUUUACCCACUGAUCCCUAUUGUCAGUCCAAUUUCUAAAUUUCAUGCCCUUUUGAAUCUCUGCUAAAAAUAUUUUACACUCACAUCUUUUCUUGGUAAUUUUUCAAACAGCUCUCAGGAAACUACCUGAGUUACUGAACACCAGAUUACCUGCUUCUGAGAAACCACAUCUUAAUUUUGGUCUGGAGUAUCUAUCCAUUUUGGGUAUACCAUGGACCCAACUCCCCCUCCACUACCACGAAUGCACUGGUGUCUGCAAGUACAGAUUUAGAACUGCUUACACUGAACGAGGCAGUGCUGGUCGGGGUUCCUGGUGGCCUUAGAGACCUUAUGUCAUCAAUCUUUCUCCACUUCUCCUGUUUCCAAGCACAGUGGGAAAGACAACUUGCUGCAAAAUAUAAUGAAGGUUGUCAUCAGUAUGUGACCAAACAGACUUCCUUAUUCCAGACUUCCCACACCUACAGCUGAUACCAUUAACUUGUCUAACCCACUUGGUCUAUGUAUUUCUUUAUGGCAAAUCUGUUGACUAGAAAAUUCUAAUGCAGAAUAUGUAGGACAUCAACCAGGGACCAUAUGUUUCAGAACCUAUUUGACUUGCUUAAAUUGUUCAGAAGAGUGACUCUAAAAGUUGCUUUUAGAUUGUGUAAAUGUAUGCACUGUAUGUAAAUUCCUCUAAGCACUCUCUGUACUCUCUACUGCCCCUUCUCCUUCCUUGCCCCCUUCUUCUCUCAAGCAGUUUUCCUUCUGCUCAUAACAUGUAGUAUGUUCAUGUCAUAUGUUCUCUCUUUCAUGCAUAUACUCACACACUUUCAUUCACACAC